GAUCGAAUUGAGUGCCCACAAGGC
rnacentral:siRNA from 1 species